rnacentral:rRNA from 1 species
ACACAUGCAGUCGAGCGCGAAGGGUUUCGGCCUGAGUAGAGCGGCGAACGGGUGAGUAACGCGUGGGAAUCUGCCUGGUAAUGGGGGACAACAUCUCGAAAGGGAUGCUAAUACCGCAUACGCCCUAAGGGGGAAAGUGGGGGAUCUUCGGACCUCACGUUAUCAGAUGAGCCCGCGUCGGAUUAGCUAGUAGGUAGGGUAAAGGCCUACCUAGGCGACGAUCCGUAACUGGUCUGAGAGGAUGAUCAGUCACACUGGAACUGAGACACGGUCCAGACUCCUACGGGAGGCAGCAGUGGGGAAUAUUGGACAAUGGGGGCAACCCUGAUCCAGCCAUGCCGCGUGUGUGAAGAAGGCCUUCGGGUUGUAAAGCACUUUAAGUUGGGAGGAAGGCUUGAUGGUUAAUAACCAUUAGGAUUGACGUUACCAACAGAAUAAGCACCGGCUAACUCCGUGCCAGCAGCCGCGGUAAUACGGAGGGUGCAAGCGUUAAUCGGAAUUACUGGGCGUAAAGCGCGCGUAGGCGGCCAUUUAAGCUAGAUGUGAAAGCCCCGGGCUUAACCUGGGGAAUUGCAUUUAGAACUGUAUGGCUAGAGUAUGGAAGAGGAGUGUGGAAUUUCAGGUGUAGCGGUGAAAUGCGUAGAGAUCUGAAAGGACAUCAGUGGCGAAAGCGACACUCUGGUCCAAUACUGACGCUGAGUGCGAAAGCGUGGGGAUCAAACAGGAUUAGAUACCCUGG